rnacentral:rRNA from 1 species
UACGGAGGGUGCAAGCGUUAAUCGGAAUUACUGGGCGUAAAGCGCACGCAGGCGGUUUGUUAAGUCAGAUGUGAAAUCCCCGGGCUCAACCUGGGAACUGCAUUUGAAACUGGCAAGCUAGAGUCUCGUAGAGGGGGGUAGAAUUCCAGGUGUAGCGGUGAAAUGCGUAGAGAUCUGGAGGAAUACCGGUGGCGAAGGCGGCCCCCUGGACGAGGACUGACGCUCAGGCACGAAAGCGUGGGGAGCAAACAGG